UACAGAGGUCUCAAGCGUUGUUCGGAUUCAUUGGGCGUAAAGGGUGUGUAGGUGGCGCCGUAAGUCGGGUGUGAAAUUUCGGAGCUUAACUCCGAAACUGCAUUCGAUACUGCGGUGCUUGAGGACUGGAGAGGAGACUGGAAUUCCCAGUGUAGCGGUGAAAUGCGUAGAUAUUGGGAGGAACACCAGUGGCGAAGGCGGCUCGCUGGACCGGAACUGACGCUGAGGCGCGAAAGCGUGGGGAGCAAACAGG
rnacentral:rRNA from 1 species